CCUUACGGCCAUACCAGGCCUGAAUACGCCCGAUCUCGUCUGAUCUCGGAAGCUAAGCAGGGUCGGGCCUGGUUAGUACUUGGAUGGGAGACCGCCUGGGAAUACCAGGUGCUGUAAGCA
rnacentral:rRNA from 1 species